CUCUGUCAAUGAUGGCAAGUUAUGUCAACUUGAUUGAUAUACAUAAGGGAAAGUAGUCUCUUUCCCUUCUGUACUUUACAAAAAUUAGAAUGCUCAAAAAAAAAAAAGAGAGAUUCAGACACCAGGAGCUAGAACGAAGCAGAUUAGAUAAAGUUUAUAUUUGAUGACAGCCAUUUUAAAGACCUGGUGAAUACAAUUUCCACAUUGAUGGCUAAUGGACAUCUCUUGUCACGUGAUCAAUUCCUCCUGUAUGUGGUGAAAUUUCAUCUUCUCUUAUAGGAACAGUAAGCAUGCAGCCCUGUUGAACCAGAUUCAAGUCACAAAAUAACUUCUAAUCAUAACAACGACAAAAAAUAGACAUUUGUACAUGGCAUCUAGGGGGAGUCUGGCAGUAUGUCAGUUAUAGUAAAG